rnacentral:rRNA from 1 species
UACGGAGGGAGCUAGCGUUGUUCGGAAUUACUGGGCGUAAAGCGCACGUAGGCGGCUUUGUAAGUUAGAGGUGAAAGCCUGGAGCUCAACUCCAGAAUUGCCUUUAAGACUGCAUCGCUUGAAUCAUGGAGAGGCGGGUGGAAUUCCGAGUGUAGAGGUGAAAUUCGUAGAUAUUCGGAAGAACACCAGUGGCGAAGGCGGCCCGCUGGACAUGUAUUGACGCUGAGGUGCGAAAGCGUGGGGAGCAAACAGGG